rnacentral:rRNA from 1 species
CAAUAGCGUAUAUUAAAGUUGUUGCAGUUAAAAAGCUCGUAGUUGGAUUUGUGGCGUACGGUGUGUUCCGGGCACUUGUUGUCUGAGUAACCUGCUGUUGCCAUCCUUGGGUGGAACCUGUGUGGCAUUAGGUUGUCGUGCAGGGGAUGCCCAUCAUUUACUGUGAAAAAAUUAGAGUGUUCAAAGCAGGCUUAUGCCGUUGAAUAUAUUAGCAUGGAAUAAUGAGAUAGGACUUUUUUGCUAUUUUGUUGGUUUGCGCAAAGAGGUAAUGAUUAAUAGGGACAGUUGGGGGUAUUCGUAUUCCAUUGUCAGAGGUGAAAUUCUUGGAUUUUUGGAAGACGAACUACUGCGAAAACAUUUACCAAGGAUGUUUUCAUUAA